GGCUCAGGAUGAACGCUGGCGGCGUGCCUAAUACAUGCAAGUCGAACGAGAGUGCUUGCACUCUAGUGGCGAACGGGUGAGUAACACGUAGGUAACCUGCCUUACAGUUUGGGAUACCCUGGCGAAAGCUAGGCUAAUACCGAAUAAUUGGAUUGGAGGCAUCUCCGAUCUCUAAAAGGGGCCUUUAAAGCCUCGCUGAAUGAUGGACCUGCGGCGCAUUAGCUAGUUGGUGAGAUAACAGCCCACCAAGGCGAGGAUGCGUAGCCGACCUGAGAGGGUGAACGGCCACACUGGAACUGAGACACGGUCCAGACUCCUACGGGAGGCAGCAGUAGGGAGUUUUCGGCAAUGGGGGCAACCCUGACCGAGCAACGCCGCGUGAAUGAUGAAGGUUCCUUCGGAUUGUAAAGUUCUGUUAUAAGGGAAAAAUGAUAUGGUGAGGAAAUGCUCCAUAUUUGAUGGUACCUUAUUAGAAAGCCACGGCUAACUACGUGCCAGCAGCUGC
rnacentral:rRNA from 1 species